rnacentral:rRNA from 1 species
UUGGAGAAUUUGAUCCUGGCUCAGAACGAACGCUGGCGGCAGGCUUAACACAUGCAAGUCGAGCGCCCCGCAAGGGGAGCGGCAGACGGGUGAGUAACGCGUGGGAACGUACCAUUUGCUACGGAAUAACUCAGGGAAACUUGUGCUAAUACCGUAUGUGCCCUUCGGGGGAAAGAUUUAUCGGCAAAUGAUCGGCCCGCGUUGGAUUAGCUAGUUGGUGGGGUAAAGGCUCACCAAGGCGACGAUCCAUAGCUGGUCUGAGAGGAUGAUCAGCCACACUGGGACUGAGACACGGCCCAGACUCCUACGGGAGGCAGCAGUGGGGAAUAUUGGACAAUGGGCGCAAGCCUGAUCCAGCCAUGCCGCGUGAGUGAUGAAGGCCCUAGGGUUGUAAAGCUCUUUCACCGGUGAAGAUAAUGACGGUAACCGGAGAAGAAGCCGGCWCUCU